rnacentral:lncRNA from 1 species
GGUUUCUAUUUAUUUCUUUUAAAAUUUCUAGUAUGAUGAAGCUUUCUGACAAGUUUCACGCAAUCCCAUUUUAAGUUUUAAAACUGUAUCCGUACGCGUUAUCUUAUUCUUAUUUUUAGUGGGUUCCAUAUACCAAAUAUAGUUGACAUGUUACUUAAAGUGACGAAGAAACGGACCUAACAAUGAAAAGUUUAAGAUGCCAAAUGAACCCUGAAAAGGUGGUUAAUAUCAGAUGACCGCCUCUAAUGCAGGAUGUCGUGGGUUUUAUCUCAGUCCAGGUCAAACCAAACACUUCAAAAUUGGUAUUUGGGAGUAAGAACAAGAAUGGUCAGCUUGGAAUCGUAAUAAUGUGUCCGGUAGGAUAUGUGUUCCUGAGGACUUUACCGUGUGAACAAGAAAGUCAAAAAUUCAGCUGAAUACAAAGCAAUGUCUACAUUCAUAUCACGUUUUUAAAAUAUGUUUUCGUCCUGAAUAUGCAUUUAAUUUGACACUGAUAUAACCAUCCGUCAAUUAAUCCACCUUACCUUCAGAGGAAAAUAUAGUUUAGCUAGAUAAGACAUUUUU